rnacentral:lncRNA from 1 species
GAAUAGAUAAAAGCUACAAGUCACAAAUCAUAUACCCUGAAGUUACAGUGGGAUGGAUUGAAAUCAUCGUGGCAAAUCUUAUCUCUCUGAAGUUACAGUAGAGUAGAUUAAAGCUACAAACCUUAUCUCCCUGAAGUUGCAAUGGAGCAGAUUGAAGAUAGCAAAUCUUCUCUCUCUGAAGUUUCAGUAGAGUAGGUUAAAGCUACAAACCUUAUCUCCCUGAAGAUGUAGUGGAGCAGGAUUGAAGACAG